UACGAAGGGGGCGAGCGUUGUUCGGAUUUACUGGGCGUAAAGGGUGCGUAGGUGGCGCUGUAAGUCGGGUGUGAAAUUUCGGAGCUUAACUCCGAAACUGCAUUCGAUACUGCGGUGCUUGAGGACUGGAGAGGAGACUGGAAUUCAUGGUGUAGCAGUGAAAUGCGUAGAGAUCAUGAGGAAGACCAGUGGCGAAGGCGGGUCUCUGGACAGUUCCUGACACUGAGGCACGAAGGCCAGGGGAGCAAACGGG
rnacentral:rRNA from 1 species